AAAGCAGAAAGAAAAAAAAAGAAGAUUGGCCACAGUUGUUAGCUCAGGUGCCAAUCUUGAAAAAAAAAAAAAAAAGAAAAAAAAAAAGAAGAAAAAAAGGAGAUUCAGCCUCACAAAGCUAAACGCAGGCUGAGGAUGAAAACUAGCCAGAAAAGUGAAGAUAAAGAAAAAGAGAGAUUCAGUGCUCAAGACCAAACAGGCUGAAGACGCCAGCCAGCACAGCCACAUGCUCCCCCUCCCCUACCUAAAACCCCAAAUAAAAACCCCUCCCUUUUUCCCUUCAAGGAGGUGGAUCUGAGUUCUAGCUCCCAUCUCCUCGUCUGACUGCCUUUUGAUAAUAAACCUCUUUCCUUGCCACAAGCCUGACGUUUCAGUUAACUGACCUUCCUGUGCAUUGGGUAGCAAGCCUGUGUUUGUGUUCGAUAACACCCAGGUGGGUCUGAUUCCAGAUCCAGCCUGUGGAAGGACUGACUGCCUGGCUCACGUGGAUACCCUUCCCGCCCCAAAGAAUCUCAUUCAGCCUUUUUACCUAUGGCAGCCACUACAAGAAAAAUCACAUUCCAUCAAACUUUUUGACAGUUGCCCAUGCCCAGGAAGGACUGGACUGUCACCCAUGGGAGUGAGCUCCCCAUCUUUGGAGCAUUUUUGUUGAGAUUAACAUAGGCAUGGUCAAGUUCACAAACGUCACAAGUAGAGGCUGAUGAGGGUGAUGACCUUCCAGUCUGGAUCUAGCACAUUCCCAGCCUCUGGCAGUUGUUGGACACUCCAGGUGAUUCUCCUGUCCCCCAAGGCGACCACUGCCCUGACCUCUGUUGCUGUAGGUGAGU
rnacentral:lncRNA from 1 species